CACGUAUGGGGCGAGCGUUGUUCGGAUUUAUUGGGUGUAAAGGGCGCGUAGGCGGUUUUGCAAGCCUGGUGUGAAAUAUCUCAGCUCAACUGAGGGAACGCGCUGGGAACUGCAAGGCUAGAGUUCGAGAGGGGAGACUGGAAUUCCUGGUGUAGGGGUGAAAUCUGUAGAUAUCAGGAAGAACACCGGUGGCGAAGGCGAGUCUCUGGCUCUGGACUGACGCUGAGGCGCGAAAGCGUAGGGAG
rnacentral:rRNA from 1 species